rnacentral:rRNA from 1 species
AUGAAUCUCUCGCCGUCCGCCGCCGCCGGCGGUGGCCUGCCAGAUCAGCCGGCAUCGCCGGAAGUAUCAGAAGAGCACAAGUGCCUAAACUCAGAGUUGUGGCACGCCUGUGCCGGCCCCCUCGUUUCUUUGCCUGCGGUCGGCAGUCGGGUGUUGUAUUUUCCUCAAGGUCAUAGUGAGCAGGUAUCGGCAUCAACAAACAAGGAAAUGGAGUCUCAGAUCCCCAACUAUCCGAACCUGCCUGCACAGCUUAUAUGCCAACUGCAUAAUGUGACCAUGCACGCUGAUGCAGAGACAGACGAGGUCUAUGCACAAAUGACGUUACAGCCACUCAGCCCACAAGAACUCAAGGACCCAUUUCUACCUGCUGAGUUGGGCAAUGCUAGCAAACAACCAACGAAUUAUUUUUGCAAAACAUUAACUGCAAGUGACACCAGUACCCAUGGUGGAUUCUCUGUUCCCCGCCGAGCUGCGGAGAAGGUGUUUCCUCCGCUGGAUUUCACUCAGCAGCCUCCAGCACAGGAGUUGAUGGCAAAAGACCUUCAUGGCAAUGAGUGGAAAUUCCGUCAUAUCUUUCGAGGUCAACCAAAGCGGCAUCUUCUGACGACAGGUUGGAGCAUCUUUAUAAGUGCGAAGAGACUGGUUGCUGGAGACUCUGUCCUAUUUAUCUGGAAUGACAACAACCAGCUGCUUCUUGGAAUACGUCGAGCAAAUAGAUCGCAAACGGUUAUGCCAUCAUCAGUAUUGUCUAGUGACAGCAUGCAUAUUGGUCUUCUUGCUGCAGCUGCUCAUGCUGCAUCAACAAAUAGCCGGUUCACUAUUUUCUAUAAUCCAAGAGCAAGCCCUUCAGAGUUUGUCAUACCAUUGGCUAAGUAUGUAAAGGCUGUGUACCAUACCCGUAUAUCUGUGGGCAUGCGUUUCCGGAUGCUUUUCGAGACAGAAGAAUCCAGUGUCAGGCGAUACAUGGGAACAAUUACAGGAAUAAGUGACCUUGAUCCUGCUCGUUGGCCGAACUCACACUGGCGUUCUGUUAAGGUUGGAUGGGAUGAGUCAACUGCUGGAGAGAGGCAACCAAGGGUGUCUCUAUGGGAGAUUGAGCCUCUGACGACUUACCCGAUGUAUUCAUCUCCUUUCCCUAUGCGACUGAAGCGGCCUUGGCCAACAGGAUUGCCUUCCUUAUAUGGUGGAAAGGAGGAUGACUUGACCUCUUCUCUCAUGUGGCUUCGAGAUGGAGCAAACCCAGGUUUCCAGUCAUUCAAUUUUGGUGGACUUGGUAUGAGUCCUUGGAUGCAGCCAAGGAUGGAUAGUUCCCUACUUGGUCUGCAACCUGACAUGUACCAUGCAAUGUCAGCAGCAGCUUUUCAGAACACGACGAAGCAAGUAUCGCCUACACUGCUGCAGUUCCAGCAGCCUCAGAACAUUGCUGGUAGAUCUGCUCUUCUAUCGAGUCAGAUUCUGCAGCAAGUGCAGCCUCAGUUUCAGGAGAUGCACCACCAAAACAUCAAUGACAGUGCAAUCCAAGGCCAUAAUCAGCCUGAGUACCUCCAGCAACAGCUUCAGCGCUGCCAAUCCUUUAAUGGGCAGAAAUCGCCGCUGCCGCAGCAGCAAGAAUCACACCACCAGCACCAGCAGCAACAGUCACAGUGCAUGCAAACACCACAACAUCAACAAAUGCAAGAACAGAAGCACUCGCCUGACUUUCAGUGUGUACCAAAUGGGUUGUCGGUUUUCUCCCAGCUUUCCUCCACCAAUCAGUCUCCACCUUCCACAUUGCAGACAGUUUCAGCGUUCUCACAGCAGCAGAACCUUCAAGACAGAAAUAUCAGCUCUCUUUCUCCAUCGAAUAUCCCGUCCAUGCAUGACACAUUGAGACCAUUUCCUUCAGAAGCAGGUUCGAACCUCCAAGGCGUGCCAAGAACCACCCCUUUGCCUGUCUCUGACCCAUGGUCAUCUAAGCGGGUUGCAAUGGAGUCUGUGAUCCCUUCUAGCUCGCAUGUUAACUCGUCGCAUAUACAACAGUUGGAUUCAGCGCCUUCUAAUAUACCACAAAGCUCCUCAUUAGCACCAUUGCCUGGAAGAGAGUGCUUGGUGGAUCAAGAUGGGAAUUCUGAUAAUCAAAAUCACCUCUUAUUUGGUGUUAAUAUAGACUCUCAGUCACUUCUAAUGCAAGGUGGCAUUCCCAGCCUUCAGGAGGACAAUGGUUGCAUUGCAAGCCUUCAGGACGACAAUGAUUCGAGCACGAUUCCAUAUUCCACGUGCAAUUUCCUGAGCCCUUCUCAAAAUGAUUUUCCGUUGAAUGAAGCACUAGCUAGUUCAGGCUGCUUAGAUGAAUCAGGAUAUGCGUCAUUUUCGGAAAAUUCUGAUCAUGUAAAUCAAUCGACUGCAGCGUUCGUGAAGGUUUACAAAUCUGGAACCUUUGGAAGGUUGCUGGACAUCACUAAGUUUAGCAGCUACCAUGAACUUCGUAGUGAGGUAGGGCACCUAUUUGGCCUCGAGGGCCAGUUGGAGGACCCUGCAAGAUCAGGCUGGCAGCUUGUAUUUGUUGACCGAGAGGAUGAUAUCCUUCUAGUUGGCGAUGAUCCGUGGCAGGAAUUCGUGAACAGCGUAUCUUGCAUAAAGAUACUUACGCCACAGGAGGUGCAGCAGAUGGGAAAGCAGGGCAUCGACCUCCUGAGCUCGGCUCCUGCGAGGAUGCUCGGCAACAGUUGUGAUAACUACGCUGGCAGGCAGGAAUCGAGAAGCCUGAGCACCGUAAUUGCGUCGGUGGGUUCUGUCGAGUUCUGA